rnacentral:rRNA from 1 species
GUGGGGAAUCUUGCGCAAUGGGGGGAACCCUGACGCAGCGACGCCGCGUGAGCGAAGAAGGCCUUCGGGUUGUAAAGCUCUGUUCUGUGGGGAGAUGACGGUACCACAGGAGAAAGCCCCGGCCAACUACGUGCCAGCAGCCGCGGUAAUACGUAGGGGGCAAGCGUUGUCCGGAGUGACUGGGCGUAAAGGGCGCGUAGGCGGUCUUAGAAGUCAGAUGUAAAAGGUACCGGCUCAACCGGUAAAUAGCAUCUGAUACCAUAAGACUAGAGUACAGGAGAGGGGAGCGGAAUUCCUGGUGUAGCGGUGAAAUGCGUAGAGAUCAGGAAGAACACCGGUGGCGAAGGCGGCUCUCUGGCCUGGGACUGACGCUGAGGCGCGAAAGCGUGGGGAGCGAACAGGAUUAGAAACCCUAGUAGUCC